AGUUUCCCUGGCCGUAAAACGCGGGCGAUGGCGCUCGAUGCCCCGGGAGACGCCGGGGUCCGCGGGCCCUUCCGGCACCGGGUCCUCCUUCAGGUUCGGGCACCCGGCUGCCUCCACGCGGGGCGAGCGCGGCGAUGGGAUCGGUCCGUGCUGCGCUCAGCCCCGCUUUCGCUAUCCCUCUGCUCCAGGGGCAGCAAAAUCAGCAGAUGAGCCCCCAGCGCGCCUGCGGCCCACACACUGCGGCCGUAACAGUUAAACAGACGGGGAACAUUCAUGUGCGUAGAGCUCUUCACGGGGCGAUACAGAAAUGUGUCGUUCUAAAGCGUUAACGACCUGCAAUUUGCAUAUCCUCCAACACAUGGAUUUUACUGAUUCAAUUAUGGAUGUGUGCAAAGAAUCUGCUGCUCGGUGAGUCAUUGUUAAUUGUCGGCUUUGGGGGGAAUACAUAAAACGUGGAAUAUUGGCAAUUUAUCGUGUUUCGACCUUUUAUAAAGGCGUCACCAGGCUGCUGAGGCUAAUACAGAAACGCAGACCAUAAAAAAGAUCUGCGUCCACGCUGCAGGCGGGCCUCACGCUGAGCUCCCCGUGUCGACCCGGGGACAAAGCCUGCUCAGGAAGAGCAGAGGGUUCCACGCCCUGCAGGACCAGCGCCCUGGGCCCCUCUCCUGGAAAGUUAUGACUCGCACGUUCCCAGGAUUUAGCGCACAUCUCCCCCACCCUCACUGCCAUUUCACAGAACCGGGGCAGCCGCAGGGCUCCUGCAGGACCUCCCGGACGCCGCGGGGCCGUGUUCCCUUGAGCGGCUUCUUGGGUCCCUGGUUGGAGAGGGGACCACCGAGCAGCUUCGCUCUGCUCCUGGGAGGCUACUUCUGCCACUGGACGACUUUCCAAAAGGGUGAGCGCAGUUCUGCAAUCCUGUUCUCACCCCUGAGGGCCUCACACCAGUUUGCAGGAGCCAGCAGUGUGAUUGCCACCGACAAGUUCCCAACAAUUUGCAGGGCGUGGUGUCCUCAGUGCUGAGAGAGCCCCGCGACGGCGGUGCAGCUCCUCCAGGGCGCGCAGCCCCGCCACCUGGCGCCACCGCGAGGGAGCGCAGGCCCAGGGCCCGGGCAGACGCUGGAGGGGACGCGGCAGGUGAAGAUGGGGCACCUCCACUUCCCUUCUAAAGGAGCCUGGGAAUAGGCUAGGAAAUGUCCCCACUGUAGAAGACAGCAGGAACAUCUGACACGCGGAUAACCUGUGCUGAGCUCGUUAUAUUCCCAGCAUUUAAUUCUAGCCAUUAGGCAUGCGUUAGCCACAACUUCGCAUAGGAAGGUUAUUGCAGCUAUAUGGGAACACUUUCAGUUUCCCAAGUUAAAACAUGAAAUUGCACAUCAUCAUUUGGAUCCCCAAAGAGGAAAAGAAAAAUUCACAACCUGCCAGUGAAAUACUCAGGCCACUUGGAUGAAGACCGAGGUCCUCCAUAGAAUCCAGGUGUUAUUUACUAACUAAUCAGAAAUUAAUAUCAAAAUAGGACUUAAAAAUAACAAGGCUGUGUUAUUACAGCAGUCUUUCCAGUUGUGUACGCUUUACUAAUCUAAAUUGGGUAACAGAACUGGAGAAAAGGAAGACUACACAGACUUAUCAUAAGCUGUUAGUGAACGUGAUAGAAAUGCGUAAUUUGUUAAAGCGAAUUACAGCUCUGAUUUGUCAAAUGAGGAGGUGAAUUAUCCUAGGAUUUGCUAUGCUGUUGUGGCGUUAGAAGAUUGGAUCUUUAGCAGCAAAGGUAACCUCAACAAUAUUUUCUGCUUAAGAAAGUGCCUUGGUUAAGGUAGACCGUGAUAUCGUCUUUGACUAAGCUCUCUGGGCUAUUGAUUCUGUCAUAUUCCAAAGGCAGUAUUGGUUUGAAGCCGAAUCUCACGGUCAAUGUCAACAUGCAAUCCACAAAGACCCUGGCGCCCUUCCACGGUAUGCACUAACCAAAACUUUCUCACUGUGAAAUCCUUUUUUUAAAAACAAGAAAACAAAAAACAAAAACCAAAAAACCUUACUGUGAAUCCUUUCCCAAGGAAUGGUCCCACCUUCACCUCGGAAAGAGGCGUGGCUUGCUCUGUAAGCAGGUCCACCCUGAGGAGACCGCUGGUGCAAGAGCCCUGCUUGCAGAACACACAGGGGGUUUUCCCACAUUCUUACUGGAGUCAGAUUCGGCAAAGCAUUUCAAGCAACUGCUGGACACUUCAAAUACCACUCCCUGUUAACAACGCCCUGAGUAUCUCACUGUCUCCAGGAUCUGGUUUAAAGGGAAACACAGAAAUGGCCAACAGCUCCCUCCCCAGGCAGGACUGCGAUUUCACAGACAACCUAUAGGCAUCCCCAGUCUGGUGAAUAAACAGGAGAGUGAGAGGAAAACAGCAAUCAUUCAACUCCAGUAGAUGUAAAGCCUCCAGAAGAAUGUGUCCCGGGAAGGUCAGAAAUGUCAUUUUUUUCCUCCAGCACAUUUCAUCUGCCACAUUCCGCCGUCCGAUGUUUGAGGAAGGAGCCCCGCCUUUCCUUCAGGGGUUCUUGUCGCCAAGUUUGAUGGUGACAGUUUUCACUUCUGUGUAUUCGGCCAAAGCGUAUUCACCUCUGUGAUCACAGAAAAGAGGAAAAUUCAAAAUGGGUACAUCCCUUAGCCAUUGUGUAGAAACUGUUCUGAGGCUUCAUCAUUCCAUCAGGCCGUUGGAGGCUUAUGCAAAAGGUUAAAAUGUGACGACCUCAUGGAAUAAUAGCCAGGACUAUAACAGCACUAGUAAGUGUCAGUAGCUGCAUAUGUGACUUAAAUGUAAAUAUCAAGGUCUUCUUCUGUGUGAUGCUUUUGAAAUGGCCAGGACUAAGGGUUUCCCUUUAGAGAAUGAAGGGGAUUUUAAAAAAAGUAAAGAGGUGAAUUCCCUGGGGUGGCAAUAGAGAGCAAAACGAGAGAGCCUGGUGGACGGUGGGGUGUCUGUGAACGAGGGAGGGGCAGAAAUUACACUGGGUUGAUAACUUUUAGAUGGCAAUUGGGAGCUGCUUGAAGAGGAGACAGAAGAGGCAGAGGCCCAAAGCUAUUGGCUGGGGAUGUGGCCAGAGGACCAGUGGGAAGAACACCAAGGGCCUGAAGCUGGCCUCAGAGUGCACAGCUGGGGACCAGCUGUCAGGCAGUGAGGCCAGCCUAGGGGGCAUGAGAGAAGCAGACGUUAGCACAGAGUGGACAUGGGGAGGCCACAGCUUUUGGGUUCACAUCCUUGGUAUAGUUCCUUUCUUUAAAUCUUGCAGGGCUCAGGUGAUCCUUCCCUGGCACCAUGGGCCGUCUUCAGGGUAGCUUCCCUUCCAAGACCCAAGAGGCAGCUUUGGAGAGAUUUAAAUCCUUCUAAGCGCUUGAUCUGCUGUCAGGUGAAGAAAAAUGUGUGCUUGUUUAGGAAGAGAUGAAGGUAGAGGUGGCCACUGGAGUCUCUGUAGUUAAAAAGACCUGUGACAGAAUCCCAUCUCCUCCCUUAGAUCAAUGGUUCUCAAAGUGUGGUCCCCAGACCAGCAGCAUCAGCCUCACCUCUGAACUUGCUAGAAAUGUAGAUUCUCAGGCCUCCCCCAGCCCUACUAUCGUAGGCAGAAUAAGGAUCUCCCCAGGUAUCCAAAAUUGGAUCCCCCAAACCUGUGAAUAUGUUGGGCUACAGAGUGAAGAAUUAAUGUUGCAGAUGGAAUUCAAGUUACUAAUCAAUUGACUUUAAAAGAGGGAGACUCUCCUGGAUCAUCCAGGCAGACCCAGUGUAAUCACAAGGGUCCCCAAAACUGGCAGAAGAAGAGAGGCAGAGCAAAAUGAGAUUAUAGAAACAGGUUCAGAGAGCAGCAGUGCUGGCUUUGAAGAUGGAGGAUGGGGCCACCAGCCUAGGAAUGCGAGCAGCCUCUAGAGGAUGGAAAAGGCAAGGAAGUAGAUUCUCUCCUGAGAACCUCCAAAAAGGAAUGAAGCCCUUGAUUUUAGCUCAGGGAGACCUGUGUCAGAUUUUUAUCCUACAGAACUAUAAGAUAAUAGAUUUAUGUUAUUUAAGCCACUGAUGUUAUGGUAACUUCUUGCAGGAGCAAUAAAAGACUAAUAAACUUACUGAAUCAGAAACUCUAUGGUGGGGCCCAGACAUCU
rnacentral:lncRNA from 1 species